CCACAAUCAUCAUCACCACAAUCAUCAUCACCACAAUCAUCAUUACCACCACCAUCAUCACCACCACCAUCAUCACCACAAUCAUCAUCACCACAAUCAUCAUUACCACCACCAUCAUUACCACCACCAUCAUUACCACCACCAUCAUCACCACAAUCAUCACCACAAUCAUUACCACCACCAUCAUCACCACAAUCAUCACCACCACCAUCAUUACCAUCACCAUCAUUACCACCACCAUCAUCACCACAAUCAUCAUUACCACCAUCAUC